UACGUAGGUGGCAAGCGUUGUCCGGAUUUACUGGGCGUAAAGAGCGCGCAGGCGGUCCGAUAAGUCGAAUGUGAAAGCCCCCGGCUCAACUGGGGAGGGUCAUUCGAUACUGUUCGACUCGAAGGCAGGAGAGGGAAGCGGAAUUCCCGGUGUAGUGGUGAAAUGCGUAGAUAUCGGGAGGAACACCAGGGGCGAAGGCGGCUUCCUGGGCUGGUCUUGACGCUGAGGCGCGAAAGGGAGGGGAGCAAACGGG
rnacentral:rRNA from 1 species